UUGAAGUUGCUUUUCUCGAAACUUGAGCUUUCUGUCAGCAUAUGUCAGUUACGUGCGUGACACAUACAUUAUUGUUUUUCAUAAUGCCAAUUUCAAGAUAGUUGUUCGUAAAGUGUGUAAGUUUCUUCGUUCACUUUGAAAAAUUUCUUGUUUGUGAUCUUAGGGAGGCCCGUUCAUGGACUUUUUUGCAAAAGAUAUCUGAAGGCUGAAAAAUUAUACGGGAGAACUUUGUUUGGGUUCGAAGCUAAAGAAAUACUCUCCAAGGUAAAUUUCUGGUUGCUGAUUUUUUGCAUUUUAUACAAAUUUCCAUGAUUUAUAGAAGCAUCUCUGUUUCGAUCUUUGGGGCUUGAGGAGGUGUUGGGUGAAUUUAGCUGAGGAAUUAAAUGUUUGUCGAUGAUUGUACGAAUUAAACAAUGCACGAUCAUAGAAUUGCUAGCAAACUCUGUGUAUAUUGGUUACUGUGUUGGUUAUUCUUUAUUUCUUUCCAGUCGAUAAUGUUGUGUAAGAAAUACGUGAAGAUAUCAUAAUUUGUUUCUGUGUAUAAUAAUAUUCUCUAGACAUCAAAUGCGAUUUGUUGGUUAACUGAAGAAUAGAGACUGAUCUUUGGUCGUCACUGAUCUUCUUAAAUUCCGACAGUUGACAUUACUUCACACUUGUCGUUUUCAACUUUUUCUCCAAGCUUUGUGUCUUUGUUCUAACACAAAUUUUAUAUGCUUGCCAAGGGGGAGCAAAAUGGGUACCCUGAUGAUGCAUCAAGAUUCCCGGGACUCUUAAAGGAUUCAUGAANN
rnacentral:lncRNA from 1 species